rnacentral:tRNA from 1 species
CUUUAGCUCAAUGGAUAGAGCGUCGGACUUCGAAUCCGCAGGUUGCAAGUUCGAGUCUUGUAGG